rnacentral:rRNA from 1 species
UACGGGAGGCAGCAGUGGGGAAUAUUGCGCAAUGGGGGCAACCCUGACGCAGCAACGCCGCGUGCGGGACGAAGGCCUUCGGGUUGUAAACCGCUUUCAGCAGGGAAGACAUCGACGGUACCUGCAGAAGAAGCCCCGGCUAACUACGUGCCAGCAGCCGCGGUAAU